AUACUUACUGGGCAGGGAAACACUAUGAUCACAAUUUGGUUUUCCUAACACGGGGGCUUAGGUACUGUGCUCUGGUUUCCCCAAAUGUGUGAAAUUGAAUUGCAUCAUUACACAGAGGGAGACUGUGUUUGCCCUUCACCCUU
rnacentral:snRNA from 1 species